rnacentral:rRNA from 1 species
AGUGAACGCUGGCGGUAGGCCUAACACAUGCAAGUCGAACGGCAGCACAGUAAGAGCUUGCUCUUACGGGUGGCGAGUGGCGGACGGGUGAGGAAUACAUCGGAAUCUACUUUUUCGUGGGGGAUAACGUAGGGAAACUUACGCUAAUACCGCAUACGACCUACGGGUGAAAGCAGGGGAUCUUCGGACCUUGCGCGAUUGAAUGAGCCGAUGUCGGAUUAGCUAGUUGGCGGGGUAAAGGCCCACCAAGGCGACGAUCCGUAGCUGGUCUGAGAGGAUGAUCGGCCACACUGGAACUGAGACACGGUCCAGACUCCUACGGGAGGCAGCAGUGGGGAAUAUGGGGCAAUGGGCGCAAGCCUGAUCCAGCCAUACCGCGUGGGUGAAGAAGGCCUUCGGGUUGUAAAGCCCUUUUGUUGGGAGAGAAAAGCAGCAGGUUAAUACCCCGCUGUUCUGACGGUACCCAAAGAAUAAGCACCGGCUAACUUCGUG